GGCAGAGGGUGCAAACGUUGUUCGGAAUUACUGGGCGUAAAGCGUGUGUAGGCGGCUUUGCAAGUCGGAUGUGAAAGCCCCGGGCUCAACCCGGGAAGUGCACUCGAUACUGCGGAGCUUGAGUGUCGGAGAGGUUGGUGGAAUUCUCGGUGUAGAGGUGAAAUUCGUAGAUAUCGAGAGGAACACCGGUGGCGAAGGCGGCCAACUGGACGAACACUGACGCUGAGACACGAAAGCGUGGGGAGCAAACAGG
rnacentral:rRNA from 1 species